AUUGAACGCUGCCGGCAGGCUUAACACCCGCAAGUCGAACGAGUGGCGGACGGGUGCGUCAUGCUUGGGAAUCUGGCUUAUGGAGGGGGAUACCGAAGGGAAACUGUCGCUAAUACAGCGUCCAAUAGGAAGAGCCCAAGUGGGAUUAGGGAGUUGGUGGGGUAAUGGCCUACCAAGCCGACGAGAACUAGCUGGUCUGAGAGGAUGACCAGCCACUCCGUGACUGAGACUCGGCCCGGACUCCUACGAGAGGCAGCAAGGGAGAAUAUUGCGGGUUGGGUGCAACCUGCCGCAGCCAUGCCGCGUGAAUGAAGUAUGCUUUGGGGUGUUAAAGUUCUUUCGGUGACGAGGCGUUAAUCACAGAAGAAGCACCAGCUGACUCCGAACCAGCAGCCGCGGUAAUAC
rnacentral:rRNA from 1 species